UCUUCCAAACACCUCAUGUUAACUACAGCUGGGUAACACUAUUUCUGGCUAAAAUUCCAGCACACUUUUGCGAGAUUCAGUCUGGUUCGUCCAUUUCGGGCAAACAAUUCCUCUUGUCUUCUUCUUCAGAAAAACAAACGGCAACAUGCUUUUCUCCAAAUGUUUUGAUUUUCUCUUUUCUUUUCAGAUUUCAAACCUUUGUAAACGAAUUACAAGUUCUUGAAGUGUCCCACAUCGAAUUUGAACAUCUCAAACCCUAGAACUGGCCUUCUAUAAAUAAAGAACCAUUUCUUCAUUCUUGGACAGAUGGUUUUGGACACGAUAAGUUGGCUUUUUACACCCACAAGAGUAGAAACACUUAGAAACGCCUUGAGUUCUAAGGAAGUUUCUUGCUCAUAGUUAAAUUUUUGAAGUUGUUUCCAUUCGUCAGAAGCUAGGUUUGGGUGAAAGGAUGUUCGUCUACUCUCGUCGCCCCCGUCGCUGCUCUCAAAAAAGAGUGGAUCUGUGUGUAGACUCAGUUAUGGUGAUCACACAACAACAUGAAAUUCUUCACUUUACAUUAUUUCUUGGUUGGAACUAUAUUCAUUCUUCACCCUUCUUCUUCUUUACAUGACUUGGGGAAAUUUCCCAAUCUCAAAUGUUCCCUGAGUUGCUGCUGAACUUUGGGAAAAUCUGCUGUACUUGUGAGGCCUUUCAAAAGGAGAUGAGUUUGAAUAGCCAACCUACUGUGGCUACUCUUAAAUGGAAAGAAGGUGGACUGAUUGCUUUAUUAUUCUGAAGCAAGCAGAUGCUAUAUUGGUGUCCCUUUGCAUUUUCUAAAGCAAGCAGACUGCUCCACUAGAGCUACUAUCUAGGAGAGCAAUUGGUACUUUGUGUCGGACUAUGGCUGCUGAGUAACUAUUCCAUUUGACAUGUACUGUUGCUUUCAAGUUGCUGUGUUUGGAAGCACAAUAUGUUAUGAGCUUGCUACCUUGAGUUGCUGUUGUGAACUACUGAUCUUUUGAACAAUUGUUGUGUUCUUGAGCCUUGGGGCCUGAUAUACACUUUGAGAUGCCCUGAUGAAAUUACUACUACACUGCUGUUGUUUUGCUGUUACCUACAACUUAGCUUCU